AGGAUUAGAUACCCGGGUAGUCCCAGCUGUAAACGAUGCAGGCUAGGUGUUUGGACGGCCACGUGCCGUUCUAGUGCCGCAGGGAAGCUGUUAAGCCUGCCGCCUGGGGAGUACGAUCGCAAGAUUGAAACUUAAAGGAAUUGGCGGGGGAGCACCACAAGGGGUGAAGCUUGCGGUCUAAUUGGAGUCAACGCCGGAAACCUCACCGGGAGCGACAGCAGUAUGAAGGCCAGAUUAAAGGUCUUGCUAGACGAGCUGAGAGGAGGUGCAUGGCCGUCGCCAGUUCGUGCCGUGAGGUGUCCUGUUAAGUCAGGCAACGAUCGAGACCCGCGUCCUCUGUUGCAACUAGCUUUGAGCUGGGCACACUGAGGAGACCGCCACUGAUAAAGUGGAGGAAGGAGCGGGCCACGGCAGGUCAGUAUGCCCCGAAUCUCCCGGGCCACACGCGAGCUGCAAUGGCAGGUACAAUGGGUUCCGACCUCGAAAGGGGAAGGCAAUCUCGAAAGCCUGCCGUAGUUGGGAUCGAGGGCUGCAACCCGCCCUCGUGAACAUGGAAUCCCUAGUAAUCGCGUGUCAUUAGCGCGCGGUGAAUACGUCCCUGCUCCUUGCACACACCGCCCGUCGUUCCAUCCGAGCGACUCUUGGGUGAGGCGCCGUCUUUCAUGGCGGCGUCGAAUCUAAGUUUCGUAAGGAGGGAAAAGUCGUAACAAG
rnacentral:rRNA from 1 species